AACCAAAAGCCAGUGACAGCCACAGGAUACUUAGAAUGAAAGGAAAGAUAGUCUUUGGAUCACUGAGGAUGCAUCAUAUUAAAGCAAGCAUCUUUCUAUUAUGAAGAACUGAAAGCCAUUGUUACAAAGUCAGAGCCAUGCAGGAAAGGCCUUGAAACUCUGUAUCAAAAAAUGAGACAACUGCAAAUUAAAACAAGGGUCAUCAUCAUCACUUUCAAAGAGAGUCUCAGGAAUAAAGGAAGAUACAAAUUUACCUACUUGAAAAAAUUAUUUCUGGUUGAUGCAAGGAUUCUCAUUUUAUUUAAUAUACAGGAAAAGUAUUUUGUCUACAGCAGAUUUAUCCACCCAACCAUCAAUGCAUUCAAUAAUAACAGACUAGUGUUGUAA
rnacentral:lncRNA from 1 species